rnacentral:rRNA from 1 species
GAUGAACGCUGGCGGCGUGCCUAAUACAUGCAAGUCGAACGCUGAAGGAGGAGCUUGCUCUUCUGGAUGAGUUGCGAACGGGUGAGUAACGCGUAGGUAACCUGCCUGGUAGCGGGGGAUAACUAUUGGAAACGAUAGCUAAUACCGCAUGACAACAGUUAUUGCAUGAUAACUGUUUAAAAGGGGCAACUGCUCCACUACCAGAUGGACCUGCGUUGUAUUAGCUAGUUGGUGAGGUAACGGCUCACCAAGGCGACGAUACAUAGCCGACCUGAGAGGGUGAUCGGCCACACUCGGACUGAGACACGGCCCAGACUCCUACGGGAGGCAGCAGUAGGGAAUCUUCGGCAAUGGACGGAAGUCUGACCGAGCAACGCCGCGUGAGUGAAGAAGGUUUUCGGAUCGUAAAGCUCUGUUGUAAGAGAAGAACGAGUGUGAGAGUGGAAAGUUCACACUGUGACGGUAUCUUACCAGAAAGGGACGGCUAACUACGUG